ensembl:lncRNA
CCGUGCAAGGGUAACGAGCACCGUGCAAUGGGUAAUGGGCACCGUGCAAGGGUAACAAGCACCGUGCAAGGGUAACGAGCACCAUGCAAUGGGUAACGGGCACCGUGCAAGGGUAACGAGCAACGUGCAAUGGGUAAUGGGCACCGUGCAAGGGUAACGAGCAACGUGCAAGGGUAAUGGGCACCAUGCAAGGGGUAAUGGGCACCGUGCAAGGGUAACGAGCAACGUGCAAUGGGUAAUGGACACCGUGCAAGGGGUAACGGGCACCGUGCAAGGGUAACGAGCACCGUGCAAGGGGUAACAGGCAACGUGCAAGGGUAACGAGCACCGUGCAAGGGUAACGAGCACCGUGCAAGGGUAACGAGCACUGUGCAAUGGGUAAUGAGCACCGUGCAAUCGGUAACAGGCAUUGUGCACUGUGCAAUAGGUAAAGAGCACCAUGGAAGGGAUAACGAGCACUGUGCAAUGGGUAACGGGCACCGUGCAAUAGGUAAAGAGCACCAUGCAAUGUUCAAUGGGUAACGAGCUCUGUGCAAUGGGUAGAGAGCACCAUGGACCGUGCAGGGGGUAAUGAGCACUGGGCACAGGGCACUGGGGACCCGCAGGUACUUUUCCUGCCACUUGCAUCCUUUUUUAUGCCAGUUCUGUAUUUUUUUAUACCAGUUUCAUGCUUUUUUUAUGCAGUUUCCACCCCUUUUUAUACCAUUUUCAUCCAUUUUUACGCCAUUUCCAUCCCUUUUUUUGCCAGUUCCAUCCUGUUUCCUGCCACUUCCAACCUCUUUUAUACCAAUUCCAUCCUUUUUUAUGCCAUUUCCGUCCCUUCUUUACACUGUUUCCGUCCCUUUUUAUACCAUUUCCAUCCCUUUUUUAUGCCUCUUCCAUCCCUUUUUACACCGUUUCCAUCCCCCUUUUACAGCACUUCCACCCCCUAUUUAUACCACUUCCAUCCUUUCUCCUACCACUUUCGUCCUUUUUAUACCAGUUCCCUUUUUUAUGCCAGUUCCACCCCCUUUUUAUACCAGUCCCAUCCUUUUUAUGCCACUUCCAUCCUGUUUUAUACCAAUUCCAUCCCUUUUUACACCAUUUCCGUCCCUUUUAAUGCCAUCCCUUUUUAUGCCAGUUCCGUCCCUUUUUAUACCAUUUCCAUCCCUUUUUUAUGCCGCUUCCAUCCCUUUUCCUACCACUUCCAUCCCUUUCCUACCAGCCCCAUCCUUUUUUGCACCAGCUCCAUCCCCUUUCCCACCUGUUCCACGCAGGGGCAGCAGCAUCGCCUGCUCUCACGUGAAACCACGCAAAAACUCCUGGAAACAUCUCACUCCUCGCUGCCCAUCCUCCCGCAGACAGCAAAGCUGCAGGGGGACCCAUUUAUUUCGGGCUUCUCCAUCCAAGGUGCGUGCAACCACAGCUCCUGGCUGAGUUUUGGGGUUGGGUUUGUGGAGGGAUGGGUUUUUGGGGGGGGGGGUUGUGACCCCAGCACUAUUUAUCUUAGUGUCCACAAAUUGCAGCCUGCUCCUUUGCAAAACCAGCGCACCGAGGCGCGUGUUGGCUUGCAGAAGCAGCCUUGCAAGUCGCAUUGGAAAAGCUCAGGGAUCUGCUUCCUUACGAGAGCAACAAAAUAG